CUGGUGAGAGAAAGCUGAGCAGAAUGGAUCUAAUCUGAUUCCUCCACCCAGAAGCCCUUAAAAUGCAGCUUUGUUUUAAGCCUUCUUGAAGAUUUGGGCUAGAUCUAGAAAAGAACCUCACCACGGAGGAUGUGCAAAGUACAACACGUGACCCCGGAGACGGAAGCUCUUCUCUACCUCCGUAAAGAUGAUCUCUGAUGAACAGACAUGAUCAUGCCUGGAGAACAGGGAUGGACAGUCCCGCUUCUGAAAGACCCUGUCUGGCUGAUGAUUCAUGGUGCGCCGGGCAGACCCCAGGCCAAGAGACCCCACCCACAGUACCUGAGUGCUCAGCUGGGAACCAGACCAGACCUCAAAACAGGUUCCCAAGGUUACCACCCAACCCUGCCAACUUUCGCACCCCGCAAGGAGCAAGACCCCGCCCGCUCACCACCUGCCUGUGCAGCCAACGGGCCUCGCUGAGCUGCCCUGGGCCGCUCCCUCCAUUCACACAGUUGGCCCUCCCUCUCCCUGCCUCCCUUCGCCUACCCCACGAACUACUUCAUCCCUCUGGGCCGGCACUGUAGAAGCCCCAUUGUUCACAUCGACCUCCCAAUUAUCUCCUCUUUCCCUCUCCCUCUGCUCCUGCCCAGACCAGCCCCCCAGCAUUGACCUGGAUGCCUGCCACAGCCUCCUCCCUGGUCUCCGGCCUCCCACCUCUGCUCCUCGGUCUCCUCUACCCAGCCAGUAACUGCAGAGAGCACUAAAGCACAGUCCUGGCAUCUCACCCCCUUAACCCUGGCCACGGCUUCCCAGUGCCUCCAAGAUAAAGCACCAACACCUGAGGACAGCAGCUUGUUUUGAGAGUCCCCUCCAUUGAAACACGCACAUCUAAUUUGUCCUUCAGUUCGCUGGACUCCACGCUGAACGUGCCAUGCUCCAUUGCCCCGUGAGUAACUCCAUGCUCUUGCCGGUUUCACACGGCCUCUCAGAGCUGGAGCCUUUGUUCAGGAGCCCUGGGCAGCUUUCAGGAAGCUCUUGGGCUCAUCAGCUUCCUCUGGCUGAAGCCGCCCCAGUGGAAUCAUGGGGAUUUCUUACUUUGAAGGUGGGGCCACCCGCAGACUGUAACCGGCUGGUUCAAGAUCAAGGACUUCCCCAGGCCACCUGCCUCAGAGGCAAGAAAGGCUCAGCUGAGUCCCAGACACUCCUCGCUGUGGCCCCUCCUUCCUCCCUGCUGGGCAGGCCCCCCUCAAUUCUGUUUGCCAGCAGGGCCUAGUAACACUGAAAGACGAAAAGGGAAAUAAAAUAAACACAAUUAAUAGGCUAAAGGUUACUGAAUAAAGUGGCAGCAGUAAAUAAAUUGACUACUGUGCAAAUACAAAGACAUGAAGACAUGAAACCCCUGCUCUAAAUGACCACUCACCAAGAGCAAGGCCUGGGCUGGAGGCAGGGAGCACCUCCCUAAGGAGCACUCCCUCUUUCCCGGAGUGAGUCCUCCUUCUAGAUGGAAUUCAGUCCGGGUUCCUCUUGAGCCACAGUCCCUGUUGGGGCCUAUCUCAGUGGACUCAAGAUCCUGAACUUCUUCCAGAUUGCUGACUACACAUUUGAGUCACCCAGAGAUUAAAAGAAAAAACAAAUAAUUUCCCAGUGAUCAGGAGUAAAUCAGCUGGGGCAGGGUUGGUGCUAUGAAUGACCACACUGAUUUGUACACUUCACUGAUUUGUAGUGUUUGCUAUUUCCGUCGUGUAAAUACUGCCAACAUGGACAAUCUUCAGUUGCUAAUGGUUUACUAACUGGCUUGUAAAUGAAUUCAUUCAGUAUUCAAGAAAAUGGCACUACAUUUAG
rnacentral:lncRNA from 1 species